rnacentral:rRNA from 1 species
AUUGAACGCUGGCGGCAGGCCUAACACAUGCAAGUCGAGCGGUAGAGAGAAGCUUGCUUCUCUUGAGAGCGGCGGACGGGUGAGUAAUGCCUAGGAAUCUGCCUGGUAGUGGGGGAUAACGUUCGGAAACGGACGCUAAUACCGCAUACGUCCUACGGGAGAAAGCAGGGGACCUUCGGGCCUUGCGCUAUCAGAUGAGCCUAGGUCGGAUUAGCUAGUUGGUGGGGUAAUGGCUCACCAAGGCGACGAUCCGUAACUGGCCUGAGAGGAUGAUCAGUCACACUGGAACUGAGACACGGUCCAGACUCCUACGGGAGGCAGCAGUGGGGAAUAUUGGACAAUGGGCGAAAGCCUGAUCCAGCCAUGCCGCGUGUGUGAAGAAGGUCUUCGGAUUGUAAAGCACUUUAAGUUGGGAGGAAGGGCAGUAAAUUAAUACUUUGCUGUUUUGACGUUACCGACAGAAUAAGCACCGGCUAACUCUGUG